ACGGCGGGGUGCCUAUACAUGCAAGUCGAACGCGUUGGCCCAAUUGAUUGAUGGUGCUUGCACCUGAUUGAUUUUGGUCGCCAACGAGUGGCGGACGGGUGAGUAACACGUAGGUAACCUGCCCAGAAGCGGGGGACAACAUUUGGAAACAGAUGCUAAUACCGCAUAACAGCGUUGUUCGCAUGAACAACGCUUAAAAGAUGGCUUCUCGCUAUCACUUCUGGAUGGACCUGCGGUGCAUUAGCUUGUUGGUGGGGUAACGGCCUACCAAGGCGAUGAUGCAUAGCCGAGUUGAGAUACUGAUCGGCCACAAUGGGACUGACACACGGCCCAUACUCCUACGGGAGGCAGCAGUAGGGAAUCUUCCACAAUGGGCGCAAGCCUGAUGGAGCAACACCGCGUGAGUGAAGAAGGGUUUCGGCUCGUAAAGCUCUGUUGUUAAAGAAGAACACGUAUGAGAGUAACUGUUCAUACGUUGACGGUAUUUAACCAGAAAGUCACGGCUAACUACGUGCCAGCAGCCGCGGUAAUACGUAGGUGGCAAGCGUUAUCCGGAUUUAUUGGGCGUAAAGAGAGUGCAGGCGGUUUUCUAAGUCUGAUGUGAAAGCCUUCGGCUUAACCGGAGAAGUGCAUCGGAAACUGGAUAACUUGAGUGCAGAAGAGGGUAGUGGAACUCCAUGUGUAGCGGUGGAAUGCGUAGAUAUAUGGAAGAACACCAGUGGCGAAGGCGGCUACCUGGUCUGCAACUGACGCUGAGACUCGAAAGCAUGGGUAGCGAACAGGAUUAGAUACCCUGGUAGUCCAUGCCGUAAACGAUGAGUGCUAGGUGUUGGAGGGUUUCCGCCCUUCAGUGCCGGAGCUAACGCAUUAAGCACUCCGCCUGGGGAGUACGACCGCAAGGUUGAAACUCAAAGGAAUUGACGGGGGCCCGCACAAGCGGUGGAGCAUGUGGUUUAAUUCGAAGCUACGCGAAGAACCUUACCAGGUCUUGACAUCUUGCGCCAACCCUAGAGAUAGGGCGUUUCCUUCGGGAACGCAAUGACAGGUGGUGCAUGGUCGUCGUCAGCUCGUGUCGUGAGAUGUUGGGUUAAGUCCCGCAACGAGCGCAACCCUUGUUACUAGUUGCCAGCAUUAAGUUGGGCACUCUAGUGAGACUGCCGGUGACAAACCGGAGGAAGGUGGGGACGACGUCAGAUCAUCAUGCCCCUUAUGACCUGGGCUACACACGUGCUACAAUGGACGGUACAACGAGUCGCGAACUCGCGAGGGCAAGCAAAUCUCUUAAAACCGUUCUCAGUUCGGACUGCAGGCUGCAACUCGCCUGCACGAAGUCGGAAUCGCUAGUAAUCGCGGAUCAGCAUGCCGCGGUGAAUACGUUCCCGGGCCUUGUACACACCGCCCGUCACACCAUGAGAGUUUGUAACACCCAAAGUCGGUGGGGUAACCUUUUAGGAGCCAGCCGCCUA
rnacentral:rRNA from 1 species